AUUAAAAUUUUUAUGUAAUAAUUUGAUUUGUUAUUUAGAAAGCCUUGCAUGUCUGUAGGGUCCAUCUUGCAAACAUGCGGUGUCUAUUACACUUUAGUUCGGGGCAUAGCAGAUUUAGUAUCAGAUCCUAGGUUUAAGAUUACUAGGACGAGCGAUAGACCAUGAUUGAAAUAGUGAUAUAAAAGUUUAGUAUCUAAGAUUGUUGCCCAGAGGUAGCAACCCA
rnacentral:lncRNA from 1 species